rnacentral:rRNA from 1 species
ACUCCUACGGGAGGCAGCAGUGGGGAAUAUUGCACAAUGGGCGCAAGCCUGAUGCAGCCAUGCCGCGUGUAUGAAGAAGGCCUUCGGUUGUAAAGUACUUUCAGCAGUGAGGAAGGUGGGUAUGUUAAUAGCAUACUCAUUUGACGUUAGCUGCAGAAGAAGCACCGGCUAACUCCGUGCCAGCAGCCGCGGUAAUACGGAGGGUGCGAGCGUUAAUCGGAAUUACUGGGCGUAAAGCGCAUGCAGGUGGUUUGUUAAGUCAGAUGUGAAAGCCCGGGGCUCAACCUCGGAAUUGCAUUUGAAACUGGCAAACUAGAGUACUGUAGAGGGGGUAGAA